rnacentral:rRNA from 1 species
GACGAACGCUGGCGGCGUACCUAAUACAUGCAAGUCGAGCGGACGUUUUUGAAGCUUGCUUUAAAAACGUUAGCGGCGGACGGGUGAGUAACACGUGGGCAACCUACCUUAUCGACUGGGAUAACUCCGGGAAACCGGGGCUAAUACCGGAUAACAUCUAGCACCUCCUGGUGCCGGAUUGAAAGAGGGCUUCUUGCUCUCACGAUAAGAUGGGCCCGGGGCGCAGUAGCUAGUUGGAGAGGUAAUGGCUCCCCAAGGCGACGAUGCGUAGCCGACCUGAGAGGGUGAUCGGCCACACUGGGACUGAGACACGGCCCAGACUCCUACGGGAGGCAGCAGUAGGGAAUCUUCCGCAAUGGACGAAAGUCUGACGGAGCAACGCCGCGUGAGUGAUGAAGGGUUUCGGCUCGUAAAGCUCUGUUAUGAGGGAAGAACACGUACCGUUCGAAUAGGGCGGUACCUUGACGGUACCUCAUCAGAAAGCCACGGUUAACUACGUGCCAGCCGCCGCGGUAA